AUCGGGUCUACCAUGCAGUCGAACGAUGACCCGGUGCUUGCACCGGUGAUUAGUGGCGAACGGGUGAGUAACACGUGAGUAACCUGCCCUUAACUCUGGGAUAAGCCUGGGAAACUGGGUCUAAUACCGGAUAUGACUCCUCAUCGCAUGGUGGGGGGUGGAAAGCUUUUUGUGGUUUUGGAUGGACUCGCGGCCUAUCAGCUUGUUGGUGAGGUAAUGGCUCACCAAGGCGACGACGGGUAGCCGGCCUGAGAGGGUGACCGGCCACACUGGGACUGAAACACGGCCCAGACUCCUACG
rnacentral:rRNA from 1 species